rnacentral:rRNA from 1 species
GAUGAACGCUGGCGGCGCGCCUAACACAUGCGAGUCGAACGAUUAAAGCACCUUCGGGUGUGUAUAAAGUGGCGAACGGCUGAGUAACACGUGGGCAACCUGCCCCUUUCAUUGGGAUAGCCACGGGAAACCGUGGAUAAUACCGAAUACUUCGAGACUUCCGCAUGGAAGACUCGAGAAAGCUCCGGCGGAGAGGGAUGGGCCCGCGGCCUGUUAGCUUGUUGGUGGGGUAACGGCCUACCAAGGCAAUGAUGGGUAGCUGGGUUGAGAGACCGACCAGCCAGAUUGGGACUGAGACACGGCCCAGACUCCUACGGGAGGCAGCAGUGGGGAAUCUUGCACAAUGGGCGAAAGCCUGAUGCAGCGACGCCGCGUGCGGGAUGAAGGCCUUCGGGUUGUAAACCGCUUUCAGCAGGGACGAGGCGAAAGUGACGGUACCUGCAGAAGAAGCCCCGGCUAACUACGUG